GAACGUGAGGGCGAUCUAGCUGUGACAUCUGUCACCCCACUGAUCAGCAGGGUUGAUUCAGCUGAACUGGUUGGCUAGGCAGGUGUCCCCUUCCUCCCUCACCCUCCAUGUGUGUCCCUCCCGAAGCUGUGUGCUCGGUCGAAGAGGAUGUGCACCCCCAAUAGAGGAGGACCAUUCCUCAGUCAUGGGUAUACACGUAGCUGCUCCCUGGCUAGAACCUACCAACAAGCUCUUAAGAGAAAUACUGAUUUAAGAAACUUGUCUUAGUUAUGUGGGUUUGCUAAGUUAAAAAAGUAAAAUAUAUGUAUUUUUU
rnacentral:snRNA from 1 species